rnacentral:tRNA from 1 species
GCGCCCAUAGCUCAGGGGUUAGAGCACGUCACUUAUAAUGACGGGGUCGAUGGUUCAAGCCCAUCUGGGCGCA